rnacentral:rRNA from 1 species
UUCCUACGGGGGGCAGCAGUGAGGAAUAUUGGUCAAUGGACGAGAGUCUGAACCAGCCAAGUAGCGUGAAGGAUGACUGCCCUAUGGGUUGUAAACUUCUUUUAUAUGGGAAUAAAACGUUCCACGUGUGGGAUUUUGUAUGUACCAUAUGAAUAAGGAUCGGCUAACUCCGUGCCAGCAGCCGCGGUAAUACGGAGGAUCCGAGCGUUAUCCGGAUUUAUUGGGUUUAAAGGGUGCGUAGGCGGACAGUCAAGUCAGCGGUAAAAAUGCGGUGCUCAACGCCGUACAGCCGUUGAAACUGGCAG